CCAUAGGAUCCACAGGAAUGACCUUGGGUAUUGGAGCUCCCAGGAUGCACUGCUUCUGUUCUGACAUACCCCACCCUCAGCAUCAGGCACUUCAGUUUUAGUUAAAAAGCCCAAAGCAGGAGCUGGAGAAAAGAGAAGGAAGUAUAGUACAUACAGGAAACACAUUCUCACUAGUAGGAGAUGGGAAUUGGUGACCAGAAAGUGUAACCCAUUGAAGCUAGGUGCAUCAGGGCUCUAGAGGUAUCCACAGGAAUGACGUUGGGAUGUCCCAAAGCAGUUGUAUUUAGGAGGAAACGCUCUUAAGCUGAAAGGAGAACAUUGCAGCCAAAGGAUGCAUCUUGACAGGAAAACGUAUCAAAGGCAUAGAACCUAAGAAAUGUGUGGACAGAGGACCAUGUGGUGGUGACUGAGCCUUUGCUGUAUCCGGUAAAAGGAGGUCAGUGGGUGUAUAAGACUGUAAAAUGUGCACGCAAAGUCCGCUAGCCAAAGUCUGUGAGAUGGCCAGCCUCACUUGUAAAAUCCAUAGAGGACAACGAGGGAAUCUAUUCUUCCAAUUAGUUAAAAGUGCACUUCCAACCACCUCUAAUAAUCCAGUCAGAUCAGAGGGCUUCUAUAGAUGUGGGAGUUUUAUGUUAUGUAAAUUAGUCCCAAGUAAAACAUCUAAAUAUACAAGUUUCUCUGUCAAAAAUAAAGAAUACAAAAUUAAGAAUUUUAUUAUGUCACACAAAUAUUGUCAUUUAUCUGAUUCAAUGUACAUGCGGCUUCUUUUAUGUGGGUCGCACAUCAAGAGCUCUAAAAAUUUGCAUGGCAAAACAUGCGAGAAAUAUAAAGGAAAAAGGUUCUUGAAAUGCAUCAUUUAGCUAGUCAUUUCAAGAUCUCUCAUAAUUGCUCAAUAAAGACAAUCAAACAAUUUGUAGGCAUCCAACAAGUGAAAAUAAAUUGGAAAGACAGAGAUAAAGAGAGCAUGCUAACUUGAGCUGAAAUUUUUGGAUAGACAACUUAAGUACAAUUUUCCCUGAAGGGUUGAAUAAAGAAUUUGAAAUCAAA